rnacentral:rRNA from 1 species
CCAUGGGGGAACCCUGAUGCAGCGACGCCGCGUGGAGGAAGAAGGUCUUCGCNAUUGUAAACUCCUGUUGUUGAGGAAGAUAAUGACGGUACUCAACAAGGAAGUGACGGCUAACUACGUGCCAGCAGCCGCGGUAAAACGUAGGUCACAAGCGUUGUCCGGAAUUACUGGGUGUAAAGGGAGCGCAGGCGGGAAGACAAGUUGGAAGUGAAAUCUAUGGGCUCAACCCAUAAACUGCUUUCAAAACUGUUUUUCUUGAGUAGUGCAGAGGUAGGCGGAAUUCCCGGUGUAGCGGUGGAAUGCGUAGAUAUCGGGAGGAACACCAGUGGCGAAGGCGGCCUACUGGGCACCAACUGACGCUGAGGCUCGAAAGUGUGGGUAGCAAACAGGAUUAGAUACCCUGGUAGUCCAAGGGCGAAUUC